GUCGACGGGCUCUUCGGAGCAAGUGGCGGACGGGUGAGUAACGCGUGAGAAUGUGCCUUCAGGAUGGGGAUAACAAUAGGAAACUAAUGCUAAGACCCAAUGUGCCUUAAGUGGUGAAAAAUGAAAAUUGCCUGAAGAGGAGCUCGCGUCUGAUUAGCUAGUUGGGGUGGUAAAAGCGCACCAAGGCAACGAUCAGUAGCUGGUCUGAGAGGAUGAGCAGCCACACUGGGACUGAGACACGGCCCAGACUCCUACGGGAGGCAGCAGUGGGGAAUUUUCCGCAAUGGGCGAAAGCCUGACGGAGCAAUACCGCGUGAGGGAGGAAGGCUCUUGGGUUGUAAACCUCAAAACUUAGGGAAGAAAAAAAUGACGGUACCUAAUUUAAGCAUCGGCUAACUCCGUG
rnacentral:rRNA from 1 species